UACUCCUGACUGACCGAUAGUGAACCAGUACCGUGAGGGAAAGGCGAAAAGAACCCCGGCGAGGGGAGUGAAAAAGAACCUGAAACCGUGUACGUACAAGCAGUGGGAGCACCUUCGGGUGUGACUGCGUACCUUUUGUAUAAUGGGUCAGCGACUUAUAUUCUGUAGCAAGGUUAACCGUAUAGGGGAGCCGCAGGGAAACCGAGUCUUAACUGGGCGUUAAGUUGCAGGGUAUAGACCCGAAACCCGGUGAUCUAGCCAUGGGCAGGUUGAAGGUUGGGUAACACUAACUGGAGGACCGAACCGACUAAUGUUGAAAAAUUAGCGGAUGACUUGUGGCUGGGGGUGAAAGGCCAAUCAAACCGGGAGAUAGCUGGUUCUCCCCGAAAGCUAUUUAGGUAGCGCCUCGUGAAUUCAUCUUCGGGGGUAGAGCACUGUUUCGGCUAGGGGGUCAUCCCGACUUACCAACCCGAUGCAAACUACGAAUACCGAAGAAUGUUAUCACGGGAGACACACGGCGGGUGCUAACGUCCGUCGUGAAGAGGGAAACAACCCAGACCGCCAGCUAAGGUCCCAAAGUCACAGUUAAGUGGGAAACGAUGUGGGAAGGCACAGACAGCCAGGAUGUUGGCUUAGAAGCAGCCAUCAUUUAAAGAAAGCGUAAUAGCUCACUGGUCGAGUCGGCCUGCGCGGAAGAUGUAACGGGGCUAAACUGUGCACCGAAGCUGCGGCAGCGACACUAUGUGUUGUUGGGUAGGGGAGCGUUCUGUAAGCCUGCGAAGGUGGCCUGUGAGGGUUGCUGGAGGUAUCAGAAGUGCGAAUGCUGACAUAAGUAACGAUAAUGCGGGUGAAAAGCCCGCACGCCGGAAGACCAAGGGUUCCUGUCCAACGUUAAUCGGGGCAGGGUGAGUCGACCCCUAAGGCGAGGCCGAAAGGCGUAGUCGAUGGGAAACAGGUUAAUAUUCCUGUACUUGGUGUUACUGCGAAGGGGGGACGGAGAAGGCUAUGUUAGCCGGGCGACGGUUGUCCCGGUUUAAGCAUGUAGGCGGAGGU
rnacentral:rRNA from 1 species